UACGGGGGGGGCAAGCGUUGUUCGGAAUUACUGGGCGUAAAGGGCUCGUAGGCGGCCAACUAAGUCAGACGUGAAAUCCCCAGGCUCAACCUGGGAACCGCGCUUGAGACUGGCACGCUCGAGUUCGGGAGAGGAUGGUGGAAUUCCCAGUGUAGAGGUGAAAUUCGUAGAUAUUGGGAAGAACACCGAUGGCGAAGGCAGCCAUCUGGACCGACACUGACGCUGAGGCGCGAAAGCGUGGGGGAGCAAACAGG
rnacentral:rRNA from 1 species